GCUGUCAAUGAAUCUCAUUAAUUAAUUCAAUACAAUGAAACAAAUUUGAUUUUCCUACAUAGUAAUAAAUAAUAGUUGGAUGCACAUUGGCUUUUACAACUACCCCUUUCAACUCUUCCUUCAACCCUCAGUCUUCCUCGUCACAGUCUUGAUGGGAACCUUCAUUCUUUGUUUGCUCACAACAAACCACUGCAAGCCACUGAAAAAAGUUGGAAAAAUCGAAAACUGCAACACAUGAUUUUGACUUGCAAAUCAAGGAAGGAUUGGUCCUUAUAGAGAUAGAGAGGUACAUCAAACUUUUGGUUUUUGAUUUAUGAAGUGGAGUGUGUGUGUGUGUUUUUGUUUUUGUUUUUUUAAAUUAAUAAUAUCAUGGCAACAAAAAACUGGUGGCAUUGUAACUUUAAUGUAUGAAAUGUAUAUAUUUGCACAUAAUAUUGUACUUUAAAUCCUGAAGUAUAAAAAUAUUCCAUGCACAAAAGAAAAGAAAAUAUAAGAAGCUGCCCUUAGAUACUACAAUUCCCCUUUAAAGAGAGGAAAUAAUAACAAUA
rnacentral:lncRNA from 1 species